rnacentral:rRNA from 1 species
AGUGAACGCUGGCGGUAGGCCUAACACAUGCAAGUCGAACGGCAGCACAGUAAGAGCUUGCUCUUACGGGUGGCGAGUGGCGGACGGGUGAGGAAUACAUCGGAAUCUACUUUUUCGUGGGGGAUAACGUAGGGAAACUUACGCUAAUACCGCAUACGACCUACGGGUGAAAGCAGGGGAUCUUCGGACCUUGCGCGAUUGAAUGAGCCGAUGUCGGAUUAGCUAGUUGGCGGGGUAAAGGCCCACCAAGGCGACGAUCCGUAGCUGGUCUGAGAGGAUGAUCAGCCACACUGGAACUGAGACACGGUCCAGACUCCUGCGGGAGGCAGCAGUGGGGAAUAUUGGACAAUGGACGCAAGCCUGAUCCAGCCAUACCGCGUGGGUGAAGAAGGCCUUCGGGUUGUAAAGUCCUUUUGUUGGGAGAGAAAAGCAGCAGGUUAAUACCCCGCUGUUCUGACGGUACCCAAAGAAUAAGCACCGGCUAACUUCGUG